GAUGAACGCUGGCGGCGUGCUUAACACAUGCAAGUCGAACGGAAAGGCUCCUGCUUGCCGGGGUACUCGAGCGGCGAACGGGUGAGUAACACAUGGGUGAUCUGCCCUGCACUUCGGGAUAAGCCUGGGAAACUGGGUCUAAUACCGGCUAGGACCACGUUUUGGAUGGUGUGGUGGAAAGUUUUUCGGUGUGGGAUGAGCUCGCGGCCUAUCAGCUUGUUGGUGGGGUAAUGGCCUACCAAGGCGUAGACGGGUAGCCGGCCUGAGAGGGUGUACGGCCACAUUGGGACUGAGAUACGGCCCAGACUCCUACGGGAGGCAGCAGUGGGGAAUAUUGUACAAUGGGCGCAAGCCUGAUGCAGCGACGCCGCGUGGGGGAUGACGGCCUUCGGGUUGUAAACUCCUGUCGCUAGGGACGAAGCGCAAGUGACGGUACCUGGAGAAGAAGCACCGGCUAACUACGUG
rnacentral:rRNA from 1 species